rnacentral:rRNA from 1 species
UAUCCAGUAGUGGGUAUUCAGUUACUUACUAUUGUGUGUUGGUCCUUUACUGUGAGAAAAUUAGAGUGUUCAAAGCAGGCGUUUGCUUGAAUAGAUUAGCAUGGAAUAAUAAUUGAAGGCUUUCGUGUUCGAUUUGAUUGGUUUGUUCAUGGAAGCAAGGUUAAAAGGAACAGUUGGGGGUAUUCAUAUUCACUAGUUAGAGGUGAAAUUCUCGGAUUUAUGGAAGAUGAACAAGUGCGAAAGCAUUUACCAAGGAUGUUUUCAUUAAUCAAGAACGAAAGCUAGGGGAUCGAAGAGGAUUAGAUACCCUCGUAGUCUUAGCUAUAAACGA